rnacentral:lncRNA from 1 species
GGGGAGCUCAGAGAGAAGAGAGUCAAGAGUAGCACCUAGGUUUCUGGUUUAGAAAUUGAAGGGGUGGCGCUAGAGAGAUGACUCAGAGGUUAAGGGCACUGACUGCUCUUCUGAAGGUCCUUAGUUCAAAUCCCAGUAACCACAUGGUGGCUCACAACCAUCCAUAAUGAGAUCUGACUCCCUCUUCUGGUGCAUCUGAAGACAGCUAGAGUGUACUUACAUAUAAUAAAUAAAUCUUAAAAAAAAAAAAAAAAAGAAAGAAAGAAAGAAAUUGAAGGGGUAUUGCCAAGUGACCAUACCUGUAAGCCUUGUCCUUGGGCAGCUGUGCAGGGGGAUUAAGCACAAAUAUAAGGCUAUACUGUUACCUAGUAAGUUCUAGGCUAUUAUGAGCUAUUGUAUGAGAUCCUCUCAAACAACAUUAACAACAAAACCCUACAGGACUGUUCCCCUAAGCAAAACAAAACCAAGUAGUUAGUGGUCAGUUUCAUAAGGUGGACUAUAAUGGUAGACCAAGUUUUAGGGCAAUGAUAAUGAGUUUAAUUUUAGAGCUGUUGCAUUUGUCAUUGUGUAGGACAUUGAAGUAAUGAUACUCAGAUGAUAACAGGUGACUGAAAUUGAGGAGAGUGGUUUGGAUCAAGGAAUAUUUCUUGUUUGGGGGCUGGAGAUGGAAUCCAAGGGUAUGUGCUUGGUAGGCAAAUACUAUCUAUUAUUAAACUGCAUUCCUAGUCCUGAAAGGGACUAAUUUUGAAAGCAUCUUGCUAGAUAAUAAUGAUACCAUGAGAGUUGAAUCAUUUCUUCCAAGUUAAGAACAGAUAGUUGGCAUGAUGGCUCAGUGGGUAAAGGUGCCUAGAGCCCAAUCUUGUAAUUUGAGUUUGAUUCCUGGGACCCACAUAGUGGAAGGAGAGAACUGACCCUCAUUAGUUGUCUUCAGACGUCCACACAUGUAUCAUGGUGUACAUUCAUUCAUUCAUUUUCUUUUUUUUAUUGUUUUUGAGACAGCAUCUCAUACUGUAGCCCCCUGGCCUUUAAUUCAUGACAACCCUUCUGCCUCUGACUUCUGGGUACCAAAUUACAGGUAUGAGUUAUUAUGUCUAAUUCUUUUGGGUUUAAUUUAAAAUUUCCAUUUGUCUUCCUAUUUCCUUCCUAUUCUGUAACUGUCUUUGUGGAUGACUUGGGAAGUAAUAAUUGAUAAUGAAACCUCCCACUUCUGGUGUGUGCCUUAGUGUACAUGGGGGCCCCGUGUGUUAAUGUGUGUUCUAGCAAUUUGUUUUGAUUCCUGCAGUUAGUAUCCCUCACUGUUGCUUUGGCUGCUUUGGAUAUUACAGUCUAAACUGAAAGCCUGUUUAACUAACAAACAUGUUGUCUUUCUGGGUAGGACUAUAUUGUUUAAUUUUUUUCACUUUAUUUAUUAUUGUGUCUAUAUGUAUCCAUACAAGAUAUCUGUGGGCCCACAUACCAUGGCCUUCAAAUGGCAGUCAGGGCAAAUUGUGGACUCAGUUCUCUCUUCCCACCCACCCUUAGGUGGGUUCCAGGAAUUAAAACCAGCUUGCACAGCAAGGCCCUUUACUCACUGAGCCAUCCCACCAGCUCUCAAGUAUUUUUAAAAUGAAAGCAAAAGACAGUUUGAAAAAAGAUUUUGUGGCUUUCUUUGAUUUUUGGCCUCAUAAUUGGGGGACAUAUCUUAUACAGAUAUAACUAAUCUUUUGUAGAAAUGUCUUUUGUUUGGUAGAACACUUACCUACAUACAUAGUCACUUACUUGAAACUCAGUUCUGCCACUGAAAAUGAGGAGUAGUAGUUAUGCAACUCUGGUUUUAUAAUGUACGUCUCAGUGAAUAAAUCUUCAGCAAGUAAGCUGUCACGGAUUCUAUUGCUUUAUUAGUCUUUAUGUGUGUAUAUUUAUGCAAGGUGUCUGUACGUGUCUGUGUCUGAGUCUGUGUGCUUGAGUGUACCCUGAGAAGGUGUCUUUCUAGCAUGCUUUGCCUUGUUCCAUUGAGGCAGGGUUUCUUGCUGAACCUGGAGCUCAUAUUAUUCAUCAAAGCUGAUGGGCAGUCAACUCCAGUGAGCCUCCUGUCUCUGCUUCUCUCAGUGCCAGGGCUGUGGGCACGUGUGGGGUCACACCUGACCUUUACAUGCAUGCAUGCUGCACAGCAGUGUCUGUAGCCACAGAGCCCUCUUUCCUGUCCAUUUAGAGUGUGCAUAUGCAUGGUGCAUGUGUGGUCAGAAGAGAAACUCUGGGAGUCAGUUCUUUUCACCAUGUGGUGCCUGGGACUGAAUUUGGGUUGUCAGGCUUGAUGGCAAGCAUAUUUACCCAGUGAACCAUCUCAUUUGCCCUAAUUUUACUUAGUUUUCAUGUGUGUGUACUCAUGCCGUGGUUAGCUUGUGGAGGUCAUAGGUCAACUUCUAAGAGUUGGCCCUCAACUUCUGCUUUGUUGAGGCAGUCUCUGUCACUUUUUUUUUUAAGAUUUAUUUAUUUUAUUUAUAUGAGUACACUGUAGCUGUCUUCACACACAUCAGAAGAGGGCAUCAGAUCCCAUUACAGAUGGUUGUGAGAACCAUGUGGUUGCUGGGAAUUGAACUCGGGACCCCUGGAAGAGCAGUCGGUACUCUUAACCGCUGAGCCAUCUCUCUAGCCCCCGUCCCUGUCACUCUUUUCUGCCAAGGCAUAGUAUACUCCAGGCUAACUUUUUCAAGCUUCCAGACAUUUCUUCUGCCUUUGUAUCCUAUGUCAUAAUAUUAGUGCUAGGACUGCAGAUGUGUACCACCACAUAGGCUUAAAUAUUUUAAAUUUUUAAAUUUGUAUAAUAAAUUAUAUGUAUCAGAUCAGAGAACAACCUGCGUGAGUUAGUUCUCUUCUUCAACUAUUUAUUUAGGAUACAGGAAUUUAAAUCUUUUUUUUUUCCCUUUGGUUUUUUGAGAUAAGGUUUCUCUGUAUAGCCCUAGCUGUCCUGGAACUUACUCUGUAGACCAGGCUGGCCUCAAACUCAGAAAUCCUUCUGCCUCUGCCUCCCAAGUGCUGGGAUUAAAGGAAUGCACCACCACCGCCCGGCAGGAAUUUAAUUCUUGUUGUCAGACUUGGCAGCAAGCCGUUUUACCCUCUGAACCAUCUUGUCAGCCUUGAACUUUUGAUCCUCCUGUCUUUGCAUCUCAAGUAUAGGCAACAGAUGUGGGCCACCACUUCCAGUGUUUAAAUAGUGCUUGGGAUCAUACUUGGAGCAUUGUACAUUAUAGGCAAGCAUUCUGCCCACAAAGCUAUGCUCCUAGCCUUUUGUUUUUAUAGAGUAUCAUAGCUUAGACUGACCUCAAACUCCUUAUGUAGAUAAGCAUGAUAUUCAACUCCUAUACAUCUUGAGUUGCUGGCAUUAUAGUCAUAACUACCACAUCCAGCUGUUAGUUAUAUUAAUAGGGUGGGUGUGUAUAUGGGUGUUUCUAGGAUUGAACCCAGGUCCUUGAGCAUGCUAGACAAAUAUUUUACUACUGAGCUACAUCCCAAGGCCCAAUUCUUUUAAUUAUUCCAAUACAUGAGUAUAUUCC